rnacentral:rRNA from 1 species
AUUGAACGCUGGCGGCAUGCUUUACACAUGCAAGUCGAACGGCAGCACGGGCUUCGGCCUGGUGGCGAGUGGCGAACGGGUGAGUAAUGCAUCGGAACGUACCGUGUAAUGGGGGAGUAACGUAGCGAAAGUUACGCUAAUACCGCAUACGCCCUCGAGGGGGGAAAGGUAGGGGACCGGCAAGGCCUCACGUUAUACGAGCGGCCGAUGUCGGAUUAGCUAGUUGGUGGGGUAAAGGCCUACCAAGGCGACGAUCCGUAGCGGGUCGUGAGAGGAUGAUCCGCCACACUGGGACUGAGACACGGCCCAGACUCCUACGGGAGGCAGCAGUGGGGAAGUUUUGGACAAUGGGCGCAAGCCUGAUCCAGCCAUGCCGCGUGAGUGAAGAAGGCC